rnacentral:misc_RNA from 1 species
GAACAAUUGAAGAAAAAGAAUAUUGUGGAGCUUGUGGAUGAAUCAACAGUCCCUAAUGGUGGCCCAAUGAGUGGUCUUUUCCCAGGGCCCAAGAGAUGCGAUGUAUCGAAGAACCCUAGAUAUGUUGAUACUCGUGUGGACGAGCUAUUUCCUGCCAGAAAAAGUAGCAUCAGGCUUAAAUUGGUUUCAAUAAAAGAAAAUGGCAAGGAAAAUUUUCAAGCAGAGAAUAGUGAUAACACUAAAAAUUGUUCUAUUCCUUCAGCUUUCCCUACUGAGAAUCAACAGCGAUCUAAAUGCCCAAAAUUCUCUCUUGCUUCAAGUGUAACUGGAAAAGAUCAUGCUACUGAAACUUGUAGCACAAGCGAAAGGUGCAGUGAGAAUACUUUCCGCAGUGUCACUGAGCUGUCACUGGGUAGUGUAGAUGUACAUGGCUUGUCUACUGUUGAUAUGGAUAAAGCCUUAAGAGGACUGGCUACUCAUGAGCAUCUAGGUGCUGCUGCUAAAAUUGCUGAAUCCUUUGAAACUGAUGGUGGUAUUAGGUCAAAAAAUUUCUGCCCAGAAUUCCAUGUCCCAUGCAAGAUGACCCCAUUGGAUUUGACGAUGAAAACUAACAUACGAGUUGUAUCCUCAUCUUCCAUUAAUUGGUUUCAUAGGUUGAUCAAUUGUGGCGCUAACAAUGUGGUGGCGAGGUCCUCAGUUAAUUGUUUCACGAAACUAAAGAUGACCAGUUUAUCUGAAGUGACUUCUGUUUCCCAAGCGAUUAAUCCAAUGUCAUUGCAUUCCUGGAUGUAUCCUCAGUCUCCUCUACCGCCUUCAGUUAUAUCAGCUUUAACCUUGUCUGCUUCAGUGGGAGGGCAACUGGACUUUUUAAGUGAAAGG